UUGGAGGGCAAGUCUGGUGCCAGCAGCCGCGGUAAUUCCAGCUCCAAUAGCGUAUAUUAAAGUUGUUGCAGUUAAAAAGCUCGUAGUUGAAUUUCGGGGUUAGUAGGUUGGUCAUGCCUCUGGUAUGUACUGGUCUCACUGAUUCCUCCUUCCUGAUGAGCCGUAAUGCCAUUAAUUUGGUGUUGCGGGGAAUUUGGACUGUUACUUUGAAAAAAUUAGAGUGUUUAAAGCAAGCUAACGCUUGAAUACAUUAGCAUGGAAUAAUGAAAUAGGACGUUCGAUCCUAUUUUGUUGGUUUCUAGGAUUGACGUAAUGAUUAAUAGGGAUAGUUGGGGGCAUUAGUAUUCAAUUGUCAGAGGUGAAAUUCUUGGAUUUAUUGAAGACUAACUACUGCGAAAGCAGUUGCCAAGGAUGUUUUCAUUAAUCAAGAACGAAAGUUAGGGGAUCGAAGACGAUCAGAUACCGUCGUAGUCUUAACCAUAAACUAUGCCGACUAGGGAUCGGAUGAUGUUAAUUUUUUAAUGACUCAUUCGGCGCCUUACGGGAAAC
rnacentral:rRNA from 1 species